rnacentral:rRNA from 1 species
AGGGUUUGAUCCUGGCUCAGGACGAACGCUGGCGGCGUGCCUAACACAUGCAAGUCGAGCGAGAAUUUCGUAACGGAUUCCUUCGGGGAGAAGAUACGGAAGGAAAGCGGCGGACGGGUGAGUAACGCGUGAGUAACCUGCCUAUCAGAGGGGGACAACAUUUCGAAAGGGAUGCUAAUACCGCAUAAUAUUGUUUUACCGCAUGAUAGAACAAUCAAAGAAUUAUCGCUGAUAGAUGGACUCGCGUCUGAUUAGAUAGUUGGUGGGGUAAAGGCCUACCAAGUCGACGAUCGGUAGCCGAACUGAGAGGUUGAUCGGCCACAUUGGGACUGAGACACGGCCCAG